rnacentral:rRNA from 1 species
GACGAACGCUGGCGGCGUGCUUAACACAUGCAAGUCGAACGGAAAGGCCCUGCUUUUGUGGGGUGCUCGAGUGGCGAACGGGUGAGUAACACGUGAGUAACCUGCCCUUGACUUUGGGAUAACUUCAGGAAACUGGGGCUAAUACCGGAUAGGAGCUCCUGCUGCAUGGUGGGGGUUGGAAAGUUUCGGCGGUUGGGGAUGGACUCGCGGCUUAUCAGCUUGUUGGUGGGGUAGUGGCUUACCAAGGCUUUGACGGGUAGCCGGCCUGAGAGGGUGACCGGCCACCUUGCGACUGAGAUACGGCCCAGACUCCUACGGGAGGCAGCAGUGGGGAAUAUGGCACAAUGGGCGGAAGCCUGAUGCAGCAACGCCGCGUGCGGGAUGACGGCCUUCGGGUUGUAAACCGCUUUCGCCUGUGACGAAGCGUGAGUGACGGUAAUGGGUAAAGAAGCACCGGCUAACUACGUG